GUCUUUUCCUGGCUGCCUUCAGAUCAAGAUGUAGAACUCUCAGCCCCUUUUCUAACACCACUUCUGCCUAGAUGCCAUGUUUCCCACCAUGAUGAUGAUAGACUGAACCUCUGAAUCUGAUUCCUCUAUGUAGUCCUGGCUGUCUUGCAACUUGCUCUGUAAACCAGGCUGGCGUUGAACUCACAGGUACUUCUGGCUCUGCCUUCCAAAAGCUGGGACUAAAGGUGUGCACCACCACACCUGGACUCAUGACUUUUCUUAUGAGCUUAUUUUAUUAGUGAUGCUCUAUUGAUAUGGACAUUGAUAUGGAUAUCACUUGGUGCUUACAGGGUACGACACCAUUUAUCUAGGGUUAUAGCAAACAGUACUGUGUAUCUUGUGUAUUAGAGUAGAGUAGAGUAGAGUUGAUUUGUUAUAAUCAACUAGAGAAUUUAGGAAGGAAGAACAGCUCAACUCUAUCAUACUUUAAUUUAAUUUAAUUUUAUUCUAUUUUCUUGAGUCAGGCUCUCAUGUAUCCCAUGCCUCAAACUCUCCAUGAAGCUGAGGGUGACCUUGAACACCUGAUCCUCCUGACUCCACCUCUAGAGUCAUGGGACUACAGGUGUGCACUACCACACUCAGUUUAUUUGGUGCUGAGGAUUGAAUCCAGGGCUUUGUGGAUGCUAGGCAAGUACUCUACCAACUGAGCUCUCCUCCCAGUCCCCAAACAUGUUUUCAAAAGAUGUAAAGGGGUUGAGGUUGUAGCUCAGAGGUAUAAUACUUGCUUAGCACAAGCAAGACCCUGGGCUUGAUCAUCAGGCCCUAAGUCAGAAAGUUUUAUCUAGCAGUGCCUGUGUCUUAAAUAUCAAAUUAGGAAGUGUGAUACACAGGUCAGUGGUUGGUGAUCCCCUCUACCAACCAUCUCAAUUGGGGUCAUAAAAAUAAACUGACAUGAAAAUAAACACAAAUGUGGCAACUUCAUAUAUAUGUAUAUAUAUAUAUAUAUAUACAUAUAUAUAUAUAUGUGUGUGUGUGUGUGUGUGUGUGUGUGUGUAUAAUUUUUUCUAUCUAUCUAUCUAUCUAUCUAUCAUCUAUCUAUCUAUCUAUCUAUCUAUCUAUCUAUCUGAAUUUAGGGAACUAAUUAAACAGUUGUAGACCAACAGUUCUAAUACUGUUAUUGUCAUCGUUGUUCUAGUGCUAGAAUCAAAUACUGCGAAUACUGCCUCUUGUGACAGCACUCCUAUUUAUUUAUUUUUUUUAAAGUCACCAGUGACCCUUUCAUGGUUAAAUUGGUAAAUUUAAAACUGGAAUUAUGGCACAGACAACAACAUGUAUGUUUCUUUACAAAGCAAUACCCCAAUGUUUUGUUAUGUUUAAAGUCACUAUACUCCAAUUCUGUGAACUUUGAAGAUACUUGGGUUGGGAUGGCACAAACGGCUGACAAGCCAUUAAAAUUUCCCAGCGGUAGAUAACCAACUGGUGUGCUCCUCACUGGAGAAGAAUUUUUUUCCCCCAAUCUCAGCAUCCCUUAGUCUUUUCUAGCUCUUCGUGUAAAGUUGAUGCCUUAUGAGCUGCCCUCUAUCUCUGACCAUGUUAGCAUGUCUAUUGUUAUUGUCCUUGUUUAGCCUGAGUUUAGGUGAUCAUCUUGAUAAGGCUUGGUGGGUGUUUCUCUUGGCAUCCCGAGGAGACACAUUCUUACAGCAAGCUCCCUGAGUUUGGCUCUCACAAUCUUUCCAUUCACUCUCCCCCAGCAAUGCCCAAGCAUACAUGUAGAUGCAUCCUUUGGGACUGGGCUCCCCAACUCUAUACUUUUCUUGGCUAUGGUUUUUCUAUGAUUUCUGUCUGUUGCAGAGAGAAGUUUCCUUAAUGAGGGAUGAGGACUAUAAUUAUCUGUGAGUAAGGACUACUAUUUAGAAUGUAGUUAGGGAUUAUGCUGGUUUAGCAAACAUACACAUGAGAGUAACAUAAUAUAGACUGAAAAAGUUUUAUUGAUGUAUUUCAGAAUAUACAUAUAUGUAACAAUUAAAAAAGAGUCAUGAAUUCAAAAGAGAGCCAAAAGUGGCACAGGGGAUCAUUGAAGGUAGAAGGGAAGGGAGAAAUGUGUGAUUAGUAUCCCCUC
rnacentral:lncRNA from 1 species